AGAGUUUGAUCCUGGCUCAGAUUGAACGCUGGCGGCAUGCUUUACACAUGCAAGUCGAACGGCAGCACGGGUGCUUGCACCUGGUGGCGAGUGGCGAACGGGUGAGUAAUGCACCGGAACGUACCCAGUAAUGGGGGAUAACACAUCGAAAGAUGUGCUAAUACCGCAUACGCCCUGAGGGGGAAAGCGGGGGAUCGUAAGACCUCGCGUUAUUGGAGCGGCCGAUGCCGGAUUAGCUAGUUGGUGAGGUAAGAGCUCACCAAGGCGACGAUCCGUAGCUGGUCUGAGAGGACGACCAGCCACACUGGGACUGAGACAUGGCCCAGACUCCUACGGGAGGCAGCAGUGGGGAAUUUUGGACAAUGGGCGCAAGCCUGAUCCAGCCAUGCCGCGUGAGUGAAGAAGGCCUUCGGGUUGUAAAGCUCUUUCGCAAGGAAAGAAAACUUAUCU
rnacentral:rRNA from 1 species